GACGAACGCUGGCGGCGUGCUUAACACAUGCAAGUCGAACGGAAAGGCCCUGCUUGCAGGGUACUCGAGUGGCGAACGGGUGAGUAACACGUGGGUGAUCUGCCCUGCACUUCGGGAUAAGCCUGGGAAACUGGGUCUAAUACCGGAUAGGAGCCAUUUUUAGUGUGAUGGUUGGAAAGUUUUUUCGGUGUAGGAUGAGCUCGCGGCCUAUCAGCUUGUUGGUGGGGUAAUGGCCUACCGAGGCGGCGACGGGUAGCCGGCCUGAGAGGGUGGACGGCCACAUUGGGACUGAGAGACGGCCCAGACUCCUACGGGAGGCAGCAGUGGGGAAUAUUGCACGAUGGGCGCAAGCCGGAUGCAGCGACGCCGCGUGGGGGAUGACUGCCUUCUGGUUGUAAACUCCUUUCGCUAGGGACGAAGCUUUUUGUGACGGUACCUAGAUAAAAAGCACCGGCUAACUACGUG
rnacentral:rRNA from 1 species